rnacentral:rRNA from 1 species
UACGUAGGGUGCGAGCGUUAAUCGGAAUUACUGGGCGUAAAGCGUGCGCAGGCGGUUCGUUGUGUCGGCGGUGAAAGCCCCGGGCUCAACCUGGGAAUUGCAUUUGAUACUCUGGAGCUUGAGUACGGGAGAGGAGAGUGGAAUUCCCAGUGUAGAGGUGAAAUUCGUAGAUAUCGGGAGGAACACCGGUGGCGAAGGCGGCGAUCUGGGUCGAUACUGACGCUGAGGUGCGAAAGCGUGGGGAGCAAACAGG